rnacentral:tRNA from 1 species
UCCCUGGUGGCUCAGGUGGUUAAGAAUCUGCCUGCAAUGCAGGAGGCCCAGGUUUGAUCCCUGGGUGGGGAA